ensembl:miRNA Mir6924 microRNA 6924
UGGACAGAGGAUGGGGAUUUGGCCAAGUUCCAGGUCUUUUACUCCUUAAUCCCCACCCUUCAG